CCUACGGGAGGCAGCAGUGAGGAAUAUUGGUCAAUGGGCGCGAGCCUGAACCAGCCAAGUCGCGUGAGGGAUGAAGGUUCUAUGGAUCGUAAACCUCUUUUAUAAGGGAAUAAAGUGUGGGACGUGUCCUAUUUUGUAUGUACCUUGUGAAUAAGGAUCGGCUAACUCCGUGCCAGCAGCCGCGGUAAUACGGAGGAUCCGAGCGUUAUCCGGAUUUAAUGGGUUUAAAGGGUGCAUAGGCGGUCGUUUAAGUCAGCGGUGAAAGAUUGUGGCUCAACCAUAGUAUUGCCGUUGAAACUGGGGGGCUUGAGUAUGUUUGAGGCAGGCGGAAUGCGUGGUGUAGCGGUGAAAUGCUUAGAUAUCACGCAGAACACCGAUUGCGAAGGCAGCCUGCCAGGCCAUGACUGACGCUGAUGCACGAAAGCGUGGGGAUCAAACAGGAUUAGAUACCCGAGUAGUC
rnacentral:rRNA from 1 species